rnacentral:misc_RNA from 1 species
GAUGAAGAACGUAGCGAAAUGCGAUAAGUAAUGUGAAUUGCAGAAUUCAGUGAAUCAUCGAAUCUUUGAACGCACAUUGCGCCCGUUAGCAUUCUAGCGGGCAUGCCUGUCCGAGCGUCAUUUCAACCCUCAGGGUCCCCGUUCCGGCGGGGAACCUGGUGUUGGGGAUCGGCCCGCCCCGUGCGGCGCCGUCCCCCAAAUUCAGUGGCGGUCUCGCUGCAGCCUCCCCUGCGUAGUAGUUACAACCUCGCAUCGGAGCUCAGCGCGGGCACGCCGUAAAACCCCCGACUUUCUGAACGUUGACCUCGGAUCAGGUAGGAAUACCCGCUGAACUUAAGCAUAUCAAUAAGCGGAGGA